AUUAGCAUUUUUGUCAGAAGUUUUUUUAGUGUAAUCAUACUGUUACAAUCAGUGUAGUAUUGCUGACUGAAUAAUGUCUCUGUUUCAGCAAAAGAUACAGCAGAAUUAGAGUUCAGGAGGGCAUCAUCCAAUGCAGUCAAUCUCACUCUGGAUCCUAAAUGCACACAUGUCAAGCUCAACAUUAAAGAUAAAAAUCAAAUCAAAUUGAAUCUGUCUGACUCAGGAUCAAAGCCUCUGAAAGGAACUCCAAUUGCAGUGGCAAAUGAGGCAUUUGAUCAAGGUAGAAUGUACUGGGAGGUGGAGGUUGGACAAAAACCAGACUGGGAGUUGGGAGUACUUUCUGCGGAGGCAAGAAAGAAACUAGAACAAGAGAAGCUGGAAAAGCCACUGGAAGAUGGAUAUGUGUCUAUGAGAUGGUUCGGGGGUCAAUAUCACUGCUCUGGAGGAAACAGUUUAAUCAGCAGUCAAAAUAAAGAAUGCAAAGUUGUAGGUGUUUAUCUGGUCAUGGAUGAAGAAGAGCAGAUGCUCUCAUUUUUUGAUGUUGAGCAGAAGUAUCCUAUUCGGUCCAUCCCUGCCUCCUUUUCUGGGAAAAUGUUUCCAUUUUUCAAUCCUGGAAAGGAUGAGUGGUAUUUGGGAGUGCGCCCAGUGAAUAUCCUCCAUGUUUAGUAUCCCUUUGAUACUAAGCUUAAGACCCCUUUGACGCUUUGUUUUUUAUCAGCUUUGUGUAUGGACUGAUUUAAACUUGUCAUUGCCUUCCUUGAUUUCUUUCUCCUGCCCUUGAUGACUCAUAGUCCAAGUGUUGCUUUUGAAGCAAAGUGAGAUGCUUGAUGCUUCGGGUCCUGAUGGGCCCGAAAAUGGUCCCUGAUGUUUCAGCCAUCCAAUGAGGAUUGCAUAUAGGGGAGCCAUCCCUUAGUGACUGAUGAUGAAGCUUGUUCACUGAAGAAAAAGAUAUUGACAUAGUUUUAAUGUUACAUGCUAAUUUGGAAACAUAGUAAAACGACUUACAAAACACUCAGGAGUCGGAGUCUCUCAUUCUUAUUCUCAUUCUCAUUCUUUCCUGACUGAAAAAGCAAAAUAUUCCUCAAAUUCAGAAUGAUGGUAUAAAGCAUUCUGUCAAUUCUGGAAGUUUUACUUCCAAAAAUCUGGCUUCUGACAUCAAUGGAAUAGGAUUGUAGGCAGAUUUGAAAUGAAAUAUGGAAGUAUACUACCAUGAAAUAACAUGUUUCAGAAGCUUCUUCACAUGAAUAUAGUAAGCCUUUACACAAUCUGCUUUCAGCAACAACAAAGGAAACAUGCCUGCCUGUUUUUAAUCUAUUCUGUACCUUUCUUAAAACAAUAAAUGUAUUGAUACUUUGGUUGUC